rnacentral:rRNA from 1 species
UACGUAGGGUGCGAGCGUUGUCCGGAAUUAUUGGGCGUAAAGAGCUCGUAGGCGGUCUGUCGCGUCGGUCGUGAAAACUUGGGGCUUAACCCUGAGCUUGCGGUCGAUACGGGCAUGACUGGAGUUCGGUAGGGGAGACUGGAAUUCCUGGUGUAGCGGUGAAAUGCGCAGAUAUCGGGAGGAACACCAGUGGCGAAGGCGGCACUCUGGGCCAGUACUGACACUGAGGAGCGAAAGGCGUGGG